GUAGAAUUGGAAAUCUCUUCCAGCGGCGUCUAUGGCGACUGAGACCGGUUGGUUUGCGACGGCUUGCGCCAGAGCAUUCUCGUUUUCAGGGAUACAAUUUGCUUAGAAAUUACUCCAUAGAGAGGGAUGGUUUCGGGUUGAGAGUGAGGAAACUUUGAGUUCCAUACAGUUCACCAGAAAAUGUGGAAAGUGAAUGUGGUGCUUACGUAGCUUCAGAAUGGGGAAUUUUCGUCAGGAACUGGAAGGAUUGUUAUUUUAUAAUAUACCAGCAGGGACUUACUUAGUAGACAUGAAAUAACUGAAAUGUGUUUGCUUUUUCUUUGUUCUGUUUAAUGUCUUAUGGAGAGGGUGAAGUUUGUUACAUUCCCAUAAUCCCAAUGUCAUAAAGUAGUGUGGACUGUGGAUAAUGAAACCAACAAUUGCAACUUGCCCAUAA